GAUGAACGCUGGCGGCGUGCCUAAUACAUGCAAGUAGAACGCUGAAGGAGGAGCUUGCUCUUCUGGAUGAGUUGUGAACGGGUGAGUAACGCGUAGGUAACCUGCCUGGUAGCGGGGGAUAACUAUUGGAAACGAUAGCUAAUACCGCAUGACAACAGUUAUUGCAUGAUAACUGUUUAAAAGGGGCAACUGCUCCACUACCAGAUGGACCUGCGUUGUAUUAGCUAGUUGGUGAGGUAACGGCUCACCAAGGCGACGAUACAUAGCCGACCUGAGAGGGUGAUCGGCCACACUGGGACUGAGACACGGCCCAGACUCCUACGGGAGGCAGCAGUAGGGAAUCUUCGGCAAUGGACGGAAGUCUGACCGAGCAACGCCGCGUGAGUGAAGAAGGUUGUCGGAUCGUAAAGCUCUGUUGUAAGAGAAGAACGAGUGUGAGAGUGGAAAGUUCACACUGUGACGGUAGCUUACCAGAAAGGGACGGCUAACUACGUG
rnacentral:rRNA from 1 species